CGCGCAGGCGGAAUAAUAAGUCAGUGGUGAAAUCUCCCGGCUCAACCGGGAAACUGCCAUUGAUACUGUUGUUCUUGAGUACAGUUGAAGUGGGCGGAAUGUGUCAUGUAGCGGUGAAAUGCUUAGAUAUGACACAGAACACCGAUAGCGAAGGCAGCUCACUAAGCUGUAACUGACGCUCAUGCACGAAAGCGUGGGGAUCAAACAGGAUUAGAUACCCUGGUAGUCC
rnacentral:rRNA from 1 species